AGUGCAAAUUUUCCUCCCCCUCCCAGACCUACUAAGUCACAUUCUGCGGGAGGGCCCAGCAGUCUGGAUUCUAACCACCCUCCAGGUGAUUCUGAGGUCUGAGAGCCGCAGCUCCCACCAGGGUCCCCCUACCUGCAGUGGGUUUGCUGGACACGUUGCUGUUCUGAGAUUCCAAAGGACUGAAGAGUCAGCCUAAUGACAUCUAUCUAACUCAGGAAGUGUGGUUUUGUGGACUGAACUUAGAAUCAGAAGACGUCUAGAUCUUGGUAACUACAAUAAAGCUUCUGGCCCCUGUUUCCCGACUCCCUCACCCUCCUGACCAGUGCUUCCCCAUGUGGUCUGCCUGUAGCAUGGACUGUCCUCUCCUGGGAUCUGUCCAGUAAGUAUUUUUUCUUGGAUGAAGCUCCUUCUCAGCACUUUCCUGAAAGUACCGGGUGGACACCUGAAGAAGACUCAUGGAAAUUCACCCUGGGUGGUCCACACUGCUACUUUUGGAAUGUGCAAGAUGAGCUUUGUGACCUUCUACCAGGAGGGCAGUUCUAAUUGCAAAGAGAGAGACUGCCAGGAGCAGAACAUUGGUUUACCUCAACAAAAAGAUGGUGAUGAUGAUUAAAAAAAAAAAAGAAGAAGAAGAAGAGCAUAUUCAAUGGAACUAUCCUUCAUACUAUGAUGGCGAUCUGUACCUGAUCCUGAAA